rnacentral:rRNA from 1 species
AAAACUUUCAACAACGGAUCUCUUGGUUCUGGCAUCGAUGAAGAACGCAGCGAAAUGCGAUAAGUAAUGUGAAUUGCAGAAUUCCGUGAAUCAUCGAAUCUUUGAACGCACAUUGCGCCCUUUGGUAUUCCGAAGGGCAUGCCUGUCCGAGCGUCAUU